UGCCAACUGGGAGCCUGCACUAAGUUCGGCAUCAAUAUGGUGACCUCCUGGGAGCAGGGGGCCACCAAGUCGCCUAAGGAUGGCUGAACUGGCCCAGGUCAGAAAGAGAGCGGGUCAGAACUCCCGCACUGACCAGUAGUGGGACUGUGCCUGGGCG
ensembl:misc_RNA Metazoa_SRP Metazoan signal recognition particle RNA